GCACUGCUGAGGAGUCCCAUAAUAAGACGAAACGGCCUUCCAGUGC
rnacentral:hammerhead_ribozyme from 1 species